GUCAUUGAGAGGGAGCUCUGUAAAGAUCUGGGGAAAAUCUGUCCAGUGGAAGGGAAUAGCAAGUGCCAAGGUACUGGCAGGCAUGAGCUCUUUGCCCUUACAAAUGGAAACUCCCAGUAUCAUGGAGGACACCUGUUCAAGAAAGAAGAAGAAAGGUUUCUGAUGGUGUCUCAGUUACCAGAAUACAGAUGGUGAACUGCAGCGGUCACUAGCCUCAUUCCCUCCCAACCGCAAACCCAGCAGUAUGCAAUGUGUGUGGGGAGCCUGGAACCCAGCAUGGCCUCUCCCACUGGUGACAGAAGCAAAGCCCAUGACCUGUAGUUUCAGAAAGAGACCUGACUCUCCUGAAGGUCAAAGCCAACAUCUACACUUUGUAAUGCUCUUUUGUAACAUCUAAUUUAUUCUGCCACAGUUCAGAGUUGGUAGUAUGGAUCCUGGCUAAGGUUACUUCUGCAAAUCAUUUCCAGGAAAAUGGAUUGUGCAUCUAAGAUAAGGGGAUUCAGGUGAAUGUUUAACUCAUUUGGACAAGCCUGUUAUCUUCAAUUUAUUUGGCAAUAUCCUUUUUGUACACAGUUGUAUGCACAAGUGCAAUGAUUUCUAAUUAUCCUUAUCUAUUCAAUACAUGACUUAACAAUUGGGGCAACUUUUUCCUGUUCAUUUAUUUGUAUCAUGACAAUCCUGAGGACAAUAAUACUGUAUACAUGAACAAAUAUUCAGUGAUUCAGAUUUCUUAUUAAUUCCAAUUGGGCAUUCUCCAUGUCAAAUGUGGUUAACUUCAUUAUAAAAAUGUACCCACAAAUAAAUAUUGCCUAAAAAUAA